GACAGAGGUGCCAAGCGUUAGGCGGAAUCACUGGGCUUAAAGCGUGUGUAGGCGGAAUUCUAAGUACCUUGUGAAAUCCCACGGCUCAACCGUGGAACUGCUUGGUAUACUGGUUUUCUUGAGCCACUUAGGGGCUGUCGGAACAAACGGUGGAGCGGUGAAAUGCGUAGAUAUCAGGAGGAACACCGGUGGCGAAGGCGGAUCUCUGGGCCUUACCUGACGCUGAGACGCGAAAGCGUGGGGAGCAAACAGG
rnacentral:rRNA from 1 species